UGACGUGGAUGUUUUAUCGUCAGUUACAAUAGGGAAAUUUACCUUUUUCUAUUAAUGUCAUAAAUUUUGCAUUUAUUUGAAUGAGCUUGCAAAAUUAGCAAUCGUAUUUCACCUAAAUAGAGAAACACUCAUCUCGAUAGUCUAUAGGAAUUAGUAGCAAUAUGUUUGAAAUAAGUGAUACACAGAAAAUUGGAGUCGGUUUGGCCGGAUUCGGUGUGGCAUUCGUAUUCCUUGGUGUGCUACUAUUGUUCGAUAAGGGCCUGUUGGCUAUUGGAAAUAUCUUGUUCAUAUGCGGAUUGGCUUGUAUCAUCGGUCUGGAGCGGACGUUCCGGUUUUUCGUGCAACGAAAGAAAAUCAAAUCAUCUCUUGCAUUCUUCGGCGGAAUUGUCAUCGUUCUUCUCGGAUGGCCAUUGAUUGGCAUGAUUAUUGAAUCCUAUGGAUUUUUCCUUUUGUUUAGCGGUUUCUUCCCGGUUGCCAUUAACUUUUUGCGAAGAGUACCGAUUUUGGGUCGAGUUCUUAACCUGCCUGGAAUUAGCACGAUUGUAGAUAAAUUAACCGGCGACUCAGAGCGAACAAGGGUAUGAAACUCGCCAUAGACAUGCAAAUGUUUAAAUUAAGAAUUAGUGUUUGUACGUACCUGUGUGUAUAAGUUAAAAAGAAGAUGUAAGAAGCUAAGCAACCAAACCACGAUGACUAAUUCCGUAUUCAUUCAUGUACGAUUGCAUCCUAUUAUUCCGCAUACUACGGAGCUUUGAAUGAUGACGAUCCAUUCCUAAUGGAAUAAUCAAAACUGAUUCUAUUGUUUCCAACCGCGACACGUGAAACCAAAGCAACAUACUGCGGCUCUUAUCUUAUGCGAUAACCUAAUGAUCACUCCAAAGGGGGCCUCCUUAUCACGGUUGAAUAUUUUUUAUUAAUUAGGCCAAAAAGCGACAAAUGUCAAGCAAGAUACCUUCUGU